CAGCUGGGCCUUCAGAGAUUGGCAGGUUCCACAUUCCCCUCUUUGAAUGCCCAUUAUUGACACCCAGCUGCCCAGCCUCAAGAAGCCCACAGCUAAUGGAGAGAUGUAUGGAGAACUGAGGAUUUCCAGGCAACAAUGCCAGCUGAGCUUCCAACUGCCAGCGAGGUUGAACCUCAGAAGACCCCAGCCCAGUGAACACCAUGUGGAGCAGAAGAACCAUCCAGCUGAGCCCAGUCAACCCACAGACCCUUGAAAGACAAAUGGCUGUUGUUUAAAGCCACUAAGUUUUGGGGUGGUUUGUUGCACAGCAACAGGUAACUGAAAUAGCAAGAACAGACUGAAGGAGGCAAAAGCAGAUGCAGAGACAGGCUUCAAACACAGGACUCAGUAACUCGAAGACCCUGCCCCUAUCCACCUUGCAAUGUAACACCAAAGUCUCUCUGAUUGCUGGUGCCUUGGUUUAACUCACCUACCUGCCAGUCUGAGAGCCCGUUCUCCUGCCAGCUCUUACUCCGGUCAGCCAUCUCCUGGUCCUGAUCCUUCCCUGGGAUUUGGAGGCUAAAGACUCUCUCCUUGCUCACUUUAUGGCUUUCAGGAUAUCUGACAGCACACAUAAUACAGUGGCUUUAUGCAGUAAAGGACGUGCAUGCACAUGCACACACACAUACGCAUGGCAAGGCAGCUGCAGGGGAGUGGAAAGAAUCUGGGAUUUGGAGGCUAAAGACCCUCUUCCUUGCUCACUUUAUGGCUUUUAGGUAAGGAAGUCCAGAAACAGAGAGGUUGAGUAACUUGCUUGAUGAUGCACAGCCAAUAAACGGAAGUGCCGGGCUUUGAAGCCAGUUGCCCUGGCUCCAGAAGCCAUGCUUGCCACCACCAUGCUAUACAGCCCCUCAAACAUCACCCCCUCUGGAAGACUUUCCAAAAGGGAUUCAUGCGAAGUCCAACCUUCCUGCCUCUGGGAUCCCACGGGGCCCAGUCUCCCCUGCUGUUCCAGUGGGAUCAUGCGCUUUCAAUGAUCCGCUUGCAGGCUCUGCCUCCCCACUAGACUAUGGGACUGACUGAGCGUGUGUCAUCUGCCACUUAAUCUCUGAGACCCCAGUGCCUCACCCAGCCUGAAACAUAUAGACGCUCAAGGCUUGAUGAAUGAAUGAGUUUGUUGAGUAAAUGCAUAGCGUAAAAACAAAUUGUGGCAAGAAGGCUUAAAUUAUUGAGGGGAAACAUUGUUUCAAGAUGCUCUUGUUUCCUAACCCCCCUGACAUCUGGACACUCACCCUCUGGGGUGGGAGGAGACUGCAGAAGUACUUGCCAGGUGACAUUGCUGGCCUGGCUUUGUAGAGCAGGUGCCCGUAAUAGCAAUCACGUGGUGGUUCUUUCAAACCGUUGGGUAAUUGGGAACUUUUCAUUAAUUAAGCCUAGUGAACCUCCUUAUUGACAACGA